rnacentral:rRNA from 1 species
AUGAACGCUGGCGGCGUGCCUAACCCAUGCAAGUCGAACGGAGUCCAGCCUUUAAGACCUUCGGGUCAAAGAGGGGAAGACUGAGUGGCGGACGGGUGAGUAACACGUGGGCAACCUGGCUCAUAGAGGGGGAUAACAGAGAGAAAUUUCUGCUAAUACCGCAUAAGCACACACUGCCGCAUGGCAGAGGGUGAAAAGAGAAUCGCUAUGAGAUGGACCCGCGUCUGAUUAGCCAGUUGGCAGGGUAAGAGCCUACCAAAGCGACGAUCAGUAGCCGAUCUGAGAGGAUGAACGGCCACAUUGGGACUGAGACACGGCCCAAACUCCUACGGGAGGCAGCAGUGGGGGAUAUUGCACAAUGGGGGGAACCCUGAUGCAGCGACGCCGCGUGAGUGAAGAAGUAUUUCGGUAUGUAAAGCUCUAUCAGCAGGGAAGAUAAUGACAGUACCUGAAGAAGAAGCCCCGGCUAACUACGUG